rnacentral:lncRNA from 7 species
GAGCGAGGAUGGGCAACGUGGAGCUCCAGGAGCCUUUCUCCCAGAUUCCUCUUUUUCGUGCUUGGGUGAGCCGUGUGCCUGGGGACCCCAGCCAUGGAUGGUCCCAGAAACCUGAAGAAGGUGAUGGGAGCCUUGUCCGUUCGGCUAUUUCACCACUACCAUGAUCAUAUUCACAGCAUCACUUUGCACGUUUUGGGGCUGCAGCUGCACUUCCCACUUCUCUUAUAAACGUGUUGACCAAAGAAUUACAAGCCCUAUUCAACAUGACCUUUGCAGUUCCCGUCCUCCCUGUGCACACUUCCCACUAGACUUAUAUAUUCUUUUCUCUGGCUGUGUGGGUUAUUUUUUUCUUUCCUUUGAAAAAAAGAGGUGAUGGGGGGAGGGUCUGAAGAUAGCCUGGUGUUUAGUGGGGUCUCCGGGGGCAUUGAGUGGCUCCAGCCUUAUCCAUGCCAUGUUGGUAACUCCUGUAGUACAGCCAAUGGGAAGUGCCCCAGGGCCUUCAGUGCUGAGCAGCUUCCUGAAUACCUGGCUCAUGAAGUGCCGAAAUAAUCAUAACGAAUCAUUUAAUAUGUCAGAACACGGCAAUUACUCUCCACUUGAAUAAAAACUUGUCAUAAUUCUCCCUUCAAGGCAGCGGCCUUGGCCCCGAGGUCUGGGUGCUGAAGUUUGCUCGGUGUGCUGUUGUUUAUUUCUUUUUCCACACUGCUAUGAAUGGGUGGAAG